GCAAGUUCUCUUAAUGCUUGGGUACUUUUUGUUGUUUUUUUUUACACGCAAUUUUGUUAUGAUUAUUUGGUAAUUUCUGUGGAUAUUUUAGCAUGAGUUCAUGAAUAAUAUGCCAAUAAUGCAACUUUAGGUCUUACAAUUUGUUCAAAACUGUAGGUUGUUUUCACUGGGGGCCGUACACAACCAGGAACAACAAAACCUGAUAAGGGGGAGCACCACCCUUACUCUGUACUAGAGUCUGAGCGUAGACGUGAAGUCAUUAUACCAUCUGUUAUCUACAUACAAAAGAUUUUGAGGCGAAGGCUAUUUCUGAUAAAGAAUCUUGAAAAUGUCAUGCGACAUUUCCUUCAGUCAUUGGAGCUUUUUGUGGAAAAUGAAAGGAAGAAGCUGGCAAUUUGCACAGCACUUGCAUUCUCUCAAAAGCUAUCAGGACUUAGACUGGAAACGGUGUUCCAGCCAAUGCUCAUAUUGGAAAAAGUUGGUAAUAUUAGUUGUUUCAUUUACAGAUACCUAUUAUUAGAAAGAUGGCUCUGCAAAACUUGAUGGAAAUCUGCUGGUAUUACUAUAACAAAUGUUCCGAAGGUCACAUUGCAAUAAGUGACCACGUACUUUGAACAAAUUCCAUGUAAUUAGUAGGUUCAUUGGGGUUUUAUUUUGCCUAUUUUGUGAACUGUCAGUGAUGAUGAUUUUAGACAAAAUACCUCAAUAUUCAAAUCACUUUGGUCAA